rnacentral:lncRNA from 1 species
GGAUUAUCAAAUUUGUAGCAUUGCAAUAGCCUAUUCCUUAUUGGUAUAGUUAGAUGUAUAAAGGUAUUGAACAAGGAUGAUUUAAAGGUGUGACAUGUAUGGCAUGUAUUUGUUUUGCAUGUAAUUUUAUUUCUAUGUUUUGUUUCUAAAUUUUGUCUGAUUAAAAUGUCUAAACUUGAUUUGAGACACACACAAAAAGGUGGACAUGCCGAACACAUUCCGUAACAUUUCACCAGUAUCUAUAUUAUGGUUUUUAGAAGAAAGGGCUUCCAGAUAUUUCAUAUAUAUAUAAAAUGAUGAUGAACAAGCUGUUUUGCAUUUGUGUAAGGAAAAUAAAUAUAAACACGAACCUUUUCAUUAAUUUGAACACUUUAAACUACACCAGUGCAUGCUUAUUACAUUAUCGAAGACUUUAUUUGUUUGAAUAUGAGUAUGUGACCAAUGUAUGUUUUUUUAAAAUGCGAUAUGUUAUAUAUGUGAAUGCUCUCUGUGACUAAAAUUAUUAAUACACAAAGCGUUGCUAUGAUACUUAUUGACGUUAUUGUUCCUGUUGACCUUUUGGGCUAAAAUGGCUGUGUUUACACCACAUAUUCAUUCUUAGUGCAGGCAAUCAUGUGCAAAGAAAAUUCAG